GACGAACGCUGGCGGCGUGCUUAAAACAUGCAAGUCGUACGAGACCGCCUUCGGGCGGGCGAGUGGCAAACGGCUGAGUAACGCGUGGGUGACCUGCCUGGAAGUGGGGAAUAACUGCCCGAAAGGGUGGCUAAUACCGCAUGUGAUGCCUUGUUCAGAUGAGGCAUGAAAGCCGUAAGGCGCUUCGAGAGGGGCCCGCGUCCGAUUAGCUAGUUGGUGGGGUAACGGCCUACCAAGGCGACGAUCGGUAGCUGGUCUAAGAGGAUGAUCAGCCAGACUGGGACUGCGACACGGCCCAGACUCCUACGGGAGGCAGCAGUUAGGAAUUUGGCAAUGGGCGAAAGCCUGACCCAGCAACGCCGCGUGGGUGAUGAAGGCC
rnacentral:rRNA from 1 species